UUUCUUCAAGUACUGGUAUGUCUAAAGAGAAAUCUGAAUAUGUUGUUGUUGAUUGGGGAACUUGGGGAAUCAAUGUCCAGUUAUCCACAAAGAUCGUGGUCAAAGAUCAACUCGGUGCUAUAAAAUAAGGAGAUGCAUGCUCGCUUCAGGGAAUCAAUCCAGUGACCAAGAGACCAGUCAUGUUCGAAGGCGAAGUAUUGGGAGUGUUUGGAUCAAAAAGAGAUGCUGAAAAAAUGGUGACUUCUCUGGUUAGUCCUGCAGUCAAAGAUGCAGAACAAGAGCCCAAUAUUGAUGUGCCACACCCAUGCUGGGAGUCAAGACCUUCCAAGAAAAAGCUUGAGGAUUUAGAGAAUACUCAACAGUGCAAAGAGCUGAGAAGAAAAAAGGCCAGAAAAGAGCCCAGAGAGAAAGAUCAAAAUCUCAAAAAGCCGUUGAGCAAACAAAAACAAACAGACCAGGAACCAGAGGUGUCUCGUAAAAAGAAAAGUGUGUCUAAGAGGAAGGUUGCUGAUGCUAAAGAUACCCAGGAUCGUGGAUUUCUUUCAGCAGCAAGUACUCAAAGGGUGCAGAAUCUACUGGAGCGAAGGCAGCAUGUGAAUUGGAAACCUGAAGUAGUUGAGAUUGAAGAAGGGGAAGACGAAAAUAGGACCAACCAACCUGCCAGUUCACUGCAGCCCAAGUCAAAACCCCAGCCAUCUGGCAUACAUUUACAUGUAGCGCAGUCAGCUGUUCCAGAAGAGCCAGUCCAGAUCAAUUCAGAACCACAACCACGUCCAAUAAAUGUGUUAAAGUCAACAGACUCUGUCUCUAACUUGCAAUCACAGCCUGCAGAUACAUUUCAGCAGAGAGAUGUCCCCAACUUAAUGCACCAACUUUUAGCAGACAAACAGUCUAAUGGGUCAGAGAGUACUCCAUUCCCACCACAGCAGUCAUCAAACCUUAGCAUUGCAACACGGUCCCCCUCUUCAUCUCAUUACAAAUCAGCUUCACCUGUCAAUCCAGCCUCAAGAUUUCACUUCUCUUCAACACCACUGGGAUCAUCUCACUCAGCUUUAAGAGGUCGUCCUUUACCGAGCCAUCUUUCCAUGUCCAGUCCUCAACAGUUCAUGAAUUCCAGUGAAGUUUUGUCCUACCUGUUAUCCCACAGCAAGAGUUCUCCAUUUCUCAAAGUUUAAGCCAUUGUUCUGACUAUAAUGUUUCAGAUUUGGAAGGUCCUAUUACUUAUUCACCUCGUAACAGCAACUUGCAUCAGUUGCAAACAGUACGAGGCCAUAUCUCCAGAGAUGUCAGCUGGCACAGGACAUCAUCAUUUUCUGAAGAUGUCAACACCUCUUGCCCAAGUUGUCAACCUUUGCUGCAGUCACUCAGUAAUCCACUUAGCAGUCUGGAAGCUGAAGUAGAGAAAUUGAGGAGGAAGCAAAGGAAGGGAAAAGCAGUAUCUGAAAAUGAAGUGGUAGACUGAGAUGACACAAAUGAAGAGAGAUUUAAUGGUUGUACAAAGGAUGCAUUAGUCAGGUCAGUCAAGGAUGCCUCUGAUGCAAAGUCAGCAGUGGAGACACUUGCUAAACAACUUUUUACCACUGAUGAACUGAAAAACUCAUCAGUCACUGGAUUUCAGUGUAACAAAGAUUGAGUCACAUCAAGGCCUGAUUCCAUCAAGGAGGAACCUUUUAGAAAACAUUGUAUUAAAGAAAGCCUUCCCUGCAAUGACCGGGUCGUCUGUCACAAAAGACCUUAAUCUACUUCUGAGAAAGGCCAUAGCUUUAAAUAAAGAAAACUGCCUGAAGGUCAAGAACAAGAAUGGAAAAUAGUAGCUAUAAAAUUAUCUCUUACAAACAUGUUAUUCUAAGUUUCUUGAGUUACUGUUUCAGUGAAGAUUGUGGUGUAUAUUUUGAACAAUCCAGAUUAGACUUGUUUUAGAAUUAAAGGUAUUG